UCCAUAGCUAGAGGACUCCUGAUAUCUCCAGGAGUGAUAAUGGCAGCCUUGGGCUGGCCUUCUGGGCAAGGUGGGUCUUUGCACUAAUCUUGCAUACUCGAAUGCCUCUGCUACCCCGAAGCUAGAGAGGAAGUGAUAGUCACUUGCAACCUAACAUUACAGCUGCCAGAAACAAGAUGAAGCCAACAGAGCAGACAAAGCCAACAAGCAUCAUUCUUGGUUUCUUGGAUCUGAAUCAACUCGACCCCAGAAGAGAAAAAGAAGCUCAUGACCAAUCCAGAAACCAAUUAAUUUUGAAAGGUAACGUUAGGGAGAUACUUGCGGAGACAGUUUGAUUUUGAGGGAACCUGAGGCUGUGCAAGUUGUGGUUGUGCAAACCUUAACACUGAGAGUGCAACAACCCCCACAGACUCAGACUCAUCCCCCCUGCCCCACUACCAACCAAGCAAGAGUAUCUCCAGAAACAUCAGCGCAAAGGGUUUGGUGAGACCAUGGCCAAUAUACACUGAGUGUACGAAACACAUGCUCUUUCCAUGA